rnacentral:rRNA from 1 species
UACGGGAGGCAGCAGUGGGGAAUAUUGCACAAUGGGCGCAAGCCUGAUGCAGCCAUGCCGCGUGUAUGAAGAAGGCCUUCGGGUUGUAAAGUACUUUCAGUCGUGAGGAAGGUGUUAAGGUUAAUAACCUUAGCAAUUGACGUUAGCGACAGAAGAAGCACCGGCUAACUCCGUGCCAGCAGCCGCGGUAAUACGGAGGGUGCGAGCGUUAAUCGGAAUUACUGGGCGUAAAGGGCACGCAGGCGGUUAAUUAAGUUGGAUGUGAAAUCCCCGGGCUUAACCUGGGAAUGGCAUUCAAGACUGGUUAGCUAGAGUCUUGUAGAGGGGGUAGAAUUCCGAUGUGUAGCGGUGAAAUGCGUAGAGAUGUGGAGGAAUACCGGUGGCGAAGGCGGCCCCUGGACAAGACUGACGCUCAUGUGCGAAAGCGUGGGGAGCAACAGGAUUAGAUACC